rnacentral:rRNA from 1 species
CCGCGGUAUUUUGACCGUGCUAAGGUAGCAUAAUCAUUAGUUUUUUAAUUGAAAGCUAGAAUGAAGGGUUGGAUGAAAAAAUAACUGUUUUUAUUUAAUUUUUAUAGAAUUUUAUUUUUUAGUUAAAAAGCUAAGAUAGCAUUAAAAGACGAGAAGACCCUAUAGAGUUUAAUAGAUAUAUUAUUAAUUUUUAAGAUUUAAUAUUGUAUUUAUUUUAAUUGGGGUGAUUGAAAAAUUUAAUUAACUUUUUCUUUAUGUUUAUAUUUAUAGAUAAAUAAUUGAUCCGAUAAAAUUGAUUAAAAGAAAAAAUUACCUUAGGGAUAACAGCGUAAUUUUAUUGGAGAGUU